rnacentral:rRNA from 1 species
UUCGCAAUGCCCGAAAGGGUGACGAAGCGACGCCGCGUGUGGGAAGAAGGCCUUCGGGUUGUAAACCACUGUCGGGAGUUAAGAAGUGUAGGGGGGUUAAUAGUCUCCUUACUUGACGUUAGCUCCGGAGGAAGCCACGGCUAACUCUGUGCCAGCAGCCGCGGUAAUACAGAGGUGGCAAGCGUUGUUCGGAAUUAUUGGGCGUAAAGAGCACGUAGGCGGCCCUGCAAGUCAGCUGUGAAAUCCUUCUGCUCAACGGAAGAACGGCAGUUGAUACUAUAGGGCUCGAGUGCGGGAGGGGAGAGUGGAACUUCUGGUGGAGCGGUGAAAUGCGUAGAUAUCAGAAGGAACAUCGGCGGCGAAGGCGACUCUCUGGCCCGUAACUGACGCUGAGGUGCGAAAGCUAGGGGAGCAAACGGGAUUAGAUACCCCGGUAGUCCUAGCCGUAAACGAUGGGCACUAAGUAGAGGGGUU